rnacentral:tRNA from 1 species
CAGAAUAUAGUUUAAUUAAAAUACUAAUUUUGGAGAUUAGUGAUAGAUUUAUAAUCUUUUUCUGA